CGUCACCCUCUUCCGACCCCUGGGUUCAUCCCCCUCUGCGCUUAUACAUACAGCCCACUCGUGUGUCCCGUCCGGCGGCCGCAUCUGCAUAAUCGUUCUCGGCUCGUCGGGAAUCAAUUGUCGCGCUAGGCUGAAUCGCGAGAUUUAUCGAGUACACGUGCCGCUAUUAUACAUUUUUCUUCUGCUCAAAGUGAAUCAUCCGCUGUAUCGAUUCGCGAUGAUGGACUCGGUAAUGAGCUACAUAGGAGGAAAAACAACGAUUUUCCAAUUCGGAAGAUCCGAAGCGAUAUUACACGUAUACGCCGUUUGUUUACGCGACAGUCCACUUCCUGGAGAUACGGUGUAUAUAAACUAGUGGAAAAAAGAUUUAUACUUUUACAAUCAAAGUCCGUAACGCGCGCUAUCUGUUUUUUUAUUCAAAAUCAAUUAUAUCGGCGCGCGAAGAUUCGAUCUCGCUUCGCGGCAGAGGCUGCGCAGUAGACUCCGCAAUCGAAUCUGAUGUUGACGGAAUUACCCGAGUUAUCUACUUCUCUUUCGAUAAUACGUCAGUACGUUCCGUUCCUUUGUGUCGAGCAGGAAUACGAGUACAGUCUCUACGUUGUAUUGAAAUAAAACGUUUUCGCCGAUAAGACUGAUGCAGAGAGAGAGCAACAUCUGGCGCGACGACGUGGAGGACUGAAAGAGGAAAAAAUCGGAAGCAGCGACUCGUCUUUUUUCCGUAUACAACCGAUGGCUAUCUCUCUGCGGCGUCCGGGAAACGAUGUAUCCUGCGAUGAUCCACUUUUACGUGCUUAGAAUAUUAGAUUUGCAAGUCACUUGAUCACUCUGAAGUCAUCCUCGAUUCCUAAGCAAAAAGUGAAUAGCCACAGAAGGAUACAUCGCACUGCAGACUAGGCCUGAGAGAAAAGCGCAUUAUACCCUCGCAUUCUAGUGCAGAACACAUGGGCGCACGUGUGCGCCGCGAGAGAAAAUGCGUCUCUCUCUCUUGCUCUCGGAGGAAAACCGAGAGGCACAUUCCGAGCGAGAGCUGGCCUGCGACGGAAUGCCGCCGCUCUCGGACCUUUUUCGACCACCUUGUGCUCGCUAUACACACACAAAGACCGAGAAAUACAAAGAUUAUACUCGGGGUUGAUUCUUUAAAUUUCUCGCGAUUGAGCCUGAUUCGCGGAACUCAAUCUGCGCAUGGCUCGCCUCCUCGAACCGUGUGACAUCAUAUUAUUCGAGUUCGCUGACGUCAAGAGUGUGUGUUCCGUCUCUCAUCUGACACGCUCGAUACGAAUUAUCGUCACCUCUAGCACAUCAUCCAGAGCUGCCGCGAUGAUUCACGCGCGAAUGAAAUUUUCGAUCUAUAAAGAGCUGUGCUGCAGUGGAGCGAAAAAAUUGGGCGAAUGGAAAGUCGCGAAUUUCGGCUGCGGCGUGCAUGUGCGCUCUACGUGCGCGGACGUCUAAAAAUAUGUGUGUCGGAUGAACGUUUUAGAAUGCGAAGCGCGAUUUUCUUUUCUUUUUCAAGACAGACGUACAUUUCUCGAGUUCAAUUGCGAAAAGACAGGAUGAAAAAAUACACGCGGCUUGUUUUUUACGAGGCUGAGAUCGUCUCGUGAAUUCGUAACGACGGAAUAUUUGCAUAUUUUUGUCUCUAUGUUUUUUGUACAUUUUUUGCGCAAUGCAGCGCUCGCGCGCGGGGCUUAAUUAACUCGAUUUCGAUACACUUCCUCAGCGCGAUGUGUCUGUGCAUCGCUAUCGAAUCCGUGGGUAAAUACACUCCGGGCCAAAAUCGCGCGGAGUCAUUCAUUUCUAAAUUUAAAGCGAAUCGCGACGCUAAAUCUGCCAAAAGAUUAUGGAGGUGCACACCUUGUGUGGGGGGGGGGGGGGGAUCACGCCUCGCUGUUUCACCGCUAAUUCGGUUCGACUACAGUAUAUGGAAAUAUGACGAGAAAAAAAAAAUCGCAUCUCGGAGAACCAGACGGCAUUCCAGAGACUGAGCCGGACGAGUUUUAGGUUAGAACGGAUUGAUAUUGAAAUUGGCAGCUUUGUUUACCGCGAGUGUCGCGUAAACACUCCCCCACGGCGGUCGUCUACUCCGAAGGUGCCCCACAGUCUCUCAUUCUCUCUUCCAGAGGAGCAUCGUCCCGAGAUUCGGACACGCAUCGGAGGCGAAGAAAGAAAGGAAGAACGAGAGUCCAGACGGAGGAGGACGCGAGAAGAAUGAAAAAAAAAAAACGGGAGGAAGAAGAUGCGCCAGUAGAGACGGCUAGUUCUGCAGGCGAGGAAGACGAUGCAGCAACCCAGCCAGAGGCUCGUCCGACGGGCGCGACGACUCUGCCCAGCCAAGAGCGCAGCCAUUUUCUGAGGCUCUCGCGCUCUCGAGAUCUCUGCACGGCGCGCUGCCGAGAGAGAAUAUUAAAACUAAACUUCUGGACCUGUAAGUACUUCCCUAUAAUCCGCCAACGUUAUAAACUGUCGUCGAGGCAUCUAGCUCUGUGGUAAACUGGCAAAACAACUUACGCUUUUAUCGAGAGGAACGUUUCUUCAAGGAAUCGAAGACGACGAAUGAUGUAUACUUACGAAUUUCACUACUGAUGGCGCACCUGUACAGCAACGUUCAGCUGCGUCAACGCGCCAUAUUUGCGGCCUUCAUCCAAUCUUCGCUUUUUGUCAGGAGAACCAGCCAAUCACGAGGUCUUAGGAAGUAACCUUUUUGUCAUUCGAAUUUGUUGAUCAAUGAAUUAUAAAUUUUAAUUUAUGAAGCAGCCAUAUAUAUUUCACGCGCAUUAUGUAAAAUUAAUGAGAUUUUUUUGUACAAAACUUUUGAUGACAAAGGCUCUCACGUGUCUGGCUAUUUUACGAAAGUAGUCUGACCAGUUAGUUGUAGCCGGCUUCUGCAGUAUCGUCAUCAUGCACGACUCUAUCUUUUGUGUCAGUGUUUUCUUCGCGAUUAUCUGGUCUGCUUUGAGUGUAGCAGAACUGAUGAGAAAGUAUCCAAAAAGUUGUAUAAAUGUAGCUUUGAGGGCUGUAAACUCGAAUUUUCAAAGCCAAGUAGUUUAAAGUUCCACAUAAAUGUUCAUUUGAAAGAGAAACCUUUCAAAUGCACGCACAAUGACUGUGAUAAAGCUUACAGUAAUCCUUCGCAUUUAAAACGUCAUGUGCUACUAACUCAUGAUAAUGCACUUAAGCUGAAGAUUAGAUGUAAACACUGUCAAGAGUAUUUUAGUAACACCAGUAAUUUGAAGCGCCAUAUUCAACGAACUCAUUCAGACACUGCAAAAUUUUGUAAACUGUGUUCCAGAAGAUUUAAAUCACCAAGUUUACUGAAUGAGCACAUGAUAUUACACAAAGAGAAGGGAAAGGAAUUAAAUUCGUUUGAUUGUGAUCAGUGUGGAAAAGAAUUGAAGAGUUGGUACUCUCUAAUUAAACACAAGAGGAGACAUUUAAAGAAUAAAUUGCAAUGCCCUUUUGAACAUUGUCUAGUAGAAUUUGAUACAGGAACAGCUUUAAGGGACCAUAAAGUUUACUUUCAUGCUAAAGAGCAUGCUGAUCAUAAGGAAAUUCACAAAAACUAUACCUGCGCAGAUUGUGGCAAAGUAUUUUAUGCCAAAAAUAACUUAAGGGUACACGUACCAACUCAUUUAGUACAAGAAAAAGAAUUCUCUUGUACGUAUAAAAAUUGUGACAAAAUCUAUCAGUUUAAAAGAAAUUUAAAGAAACACAUACAAAUUUCUCAUUUGGGUAGGAGAUUUACAUGUGAAGUUUGCAAUCGUGAAUUCAAAUCAAAUCAGAAACUCAAUCAGCAUAAGCAAAAUUUUCACCAAGGACCAACAAAAUCACGUAGAAGAUGCUCAAAGAUGAAUAAUUAAGUAUUUUCGUAAAUAAAACCCAUCACUGUUCAAACUGUGAUAUUACUAUAGUUUAGAUACUUAUUUAUUAUAAAUGAAAUAAAGUACUGUUAUUAACACUUGUAA